GUAAGAACCUCAUCUUUCUUGAUCUGAAGAUGUUUGAGGUUUAGAUAUAUUGUGCCCAGUGGGCCACUUUUGGUAAGCAGAACUGGCGCUGUGGGAUGAACCAAACGUGAUGUUACGGCGCCUAAAUUAAUGACUCAUAUUGAUACCAUGAAAGGCGUUGGUUGCUUAAAACAGCAGGACGGUGGACAUGGAAGUUGUAAUCCGCUAAGGAGUGUGUAACAACUCACCUGCCGAAGCAACUAGCCCUUAAAAUGGAUGGCGCUCAAGUCAUAUGCCUAUACAUCACCGCUAAAAUAGAAAGAUUUUAUUGUAAAAAAUAAAAUUUAUUAAAUUUUAGUGAGUAGGAGGGUACAAUGGUGUGCGCAGAAGUGUUUGGCGUGAGCCUGCAUGGAGCCGCCAUUGGCACAGAUCUUGGUGGUAGUAGCAAAUAAUCGAAUGAGAUCUUGGAGGACUGAAGUGGAGAAGGGUUUCGUGUGAACAGUGGUUGAUCACGAGUUAGUCGGUCCUAAGCUCUAUGCGAAAGCUGUUUAAUUUAUGUUACAAUUAUUAUUAUAUGAUAUGAUGUACAUAAUUUAUUAAGAGCGAAAGGGAAUACGGUUCCAAUUCCGUAACCUGUUGAGUAUACGUUUGUUUAUUAAAAAUGGGUCUUAUUACACUCAUCCUGGCAACAGGAACAACCAUAGAGAAGCCUUCGAGAGAUACUGGAAGAGUUUUCUUUUCUGUUGAACAAUCGUAUCACCAUGGAAGUCUUUCACAGAGAGAUAUGGUGAAUGGAUUGGAAGAGCAUGACAUUUACUGUUGUGUCAGUAUUUUCUCCUUGGACCUUGAAAAUCUAUGGUGGGGCCACGCAAACAUCUCAACAGACCGUACCGAUAUCCGCAGCCGGUCUCCAAGGUGAAGA
rnacentral:rRNA from 1 species